rnacentral:rRNA from 1 species
GAUGAACGCCGGCGGCGUGCCUAAUACAUGCAAGUCGAGCGAACGGACGAGAAGCUUGCUUUUCUGAUGUUAGCGGCGGACGGGUGAGUAACACGUGGAUAACCUACCUAUAAGACUGGGAUAACUUCGGGAAACCGGAGCUAAUACCGGAUAAUAUUUUGAACCGCAUGGUUCAAAAGUGAAAGACGGUCUUGCUGUCACUUAUAGAUGGAUCCGCGCUGCAUUAGCUAGUUGGUAAGGUAACGGCUUACCAAGGCAACGAUGCAUAGCCGACCUGAGAGGAUGAUCGGCCACACUGGAACUGAGACACGGUCCAGACUCCUACGGGAGGCAGCAGUAGGGAAUCUUCCGCAAUGGGCGAAAGCCUGACGGAGCAACGCCGCGUGAGUGAUGAAGGUCUUCGGAUCGUAAAACUCUGUUAUUAGGGAAGAACAUAUGUGUAAGUAACUGUGCACAUCUUGACGGUACCUAAUCAGAAAGCCACGGCUAACUACGUG